rnacentral:rRNA from 1 species
ACUNNNNNGUCUUGACNUCCUUUGACCNCUCGAGAGANCGAGCUUUCCCUUCGGGGACAAAGUGACAGGUGGUGCAUGGUUGUCGUCAGCUCGUGUCGUGAGAUGUUGGGUUAAGUCCCGCAACGAGCGCAACCCUUAUUACUAGUUGCCAGCAUUCAGUUGGGCACUCUAGUGAGACUGCCGGUGACAAACCGGAGGAAGGUGGGGAUGACGUCAAAUCAUCAUGCCCCUUAUGACCUGGGCUACACACGUGCUACAAUGGAUGGUACAACGAGUCGCGAAGUCGUGAGGCCAAGCUAAUCUCUUAAAGCCAUUCUCAGUUCGGAUUGUAGGCUGCAACUCGCCUACAUGAAGCCGGAAUCGCUAGUAAUCGCGGAUCAGAACGCCGCGGUGAAUACGUUCCCGGGA